rnacentral:rRNA from 1 species
CAGCAGCCGCGGUAAUACGUAGGUGGCAAGCGUUGUCCGGAAUUAUUGGGCGUAAAGGGCUCGCAGGCGGUUUCUUAAGUCUGAUGUGAAAGCCCCCGGCUCAACCGGGGAGGGUCAUUGGAAACUGGGAAACUUGAGUGCAGAAGAGGAGAGUGGAAUUCCACGUGUAGCGGUGAAAUGCGUAGAGAUGUGGAGGAACACCAGUGGCGAAGGCGACUCUCUGGUCUGUAACUGACGCUGAGGAGCGAAAGCGUGGGGAGCGAACAGGAUCAGAUACCCCUGUAGUCCCUGUCUCUUAUAC